rnacentral:rRNA from 1 species
UAGCAUGGAAUAAUGAAAUAGGACGUUCGAUCUUAUUUUGUUGGUUUCUAGGAUUGACGUAAUGAUUAAUAGGGAUAGUUCGGGGCAUUAGUAUUCAAUUGUCAGAGGUGAAAUUCUUGGAUUUAUUGAAGACUAACUACUGCGAAAGCAUUUGCCAAGGAUGUUUUCAUUAAUCAAGAACGAAAGUUAGGGGAUCGAAGACGAUCA